CCGCUUGAUGCUUCCAGUUGUCAUAUGCGUCCUUUAAGGUUUCAGUGAUGCAAACCUUGCACAUUGCACCACCAGAUUGUUGAGUAACCCCUCACAAUCAGCAAUCAUCCUCAUAAUAGUAUGUGUUGCUUCGAACCCACCCAACGGAUUUGCAAACUAAGUGCUUGGCUAUUACCUAACUAUUGUACGGCAC
rnacentral:rRNA from 1 species